rnacentral:rRNA from 1 species
AAAGAAGCAGAGGGGGCUUAGUGGUGGGGUGACUGCGUACCUUUUGUAUAAUGGGUCAGCGACUUAUAUUCUGUAGCAAGGUUAACCGUAUAGGGGAGCCGCAGGGAAACCGAGUCUUAACCGGGCGUUAAGUUGCAGGGUAUAGACCCGAAACCCGGUGAUCUAGCCAUGGGCAGGUUGAAGGUUGGGUAACACUAACUGGAGGACCGAACCGACUAAUGUUGAAAAAUUAGCGGAUGACCUGUGGCUGGGGGUGAAAGGCCAAUCAAACCGGGAGAUAGCUGGUUCUCCCCGAAAGCUAUUUAGGUAGCGCCUCGUGAACUCAUCUCCGGGGGUAGAGCACUGUUUCGGCUAGGGGGCCAUCCCGGCUUACCAACCCGAUGCAAACUGCGAAUACCGGAGAAUGUUAUCACGGGAGACACACGGCGGGUGCUAACGUCCGUCGUGAAGAGGGAAACAACCCAGACCGCCAGCUAAGGUCCCAAAGUCAUGGUUAAGUGGGAAACGAUGUGGGAAGGCCCAGACAGCCAGGAUGUUGGCUUAGAAGCAGCCAUCAUUUAAAGAAAGCGUAAUAGCUCACUGGUCGAGUCGGCCUGCGCGGAAGAUGUAACGGGGCUAAACCAUGCACCGAAGCUGCGGCAGCGACACUAUGUGUUGUUGGGUAGGGGAGCGUUCUGUAAGCCUGUGAAGGUGGCCUGUGAGGGUUGCUGGAGGUAUCAGAAGUGCGAAUGCUGACAUAAGUAACGAUAAAGCGGGUGAAAAGCCCGCUCGCCGGAAGACCAAGGGUUCCUGUCCAACGUUAAUCGGGGCAGGGUGAGUCGACCCCUAAGGCGAGGCCGAAAGGCGUAGUCGAUGGGAAACGGGUUAAUAUUCCCGUACUUGGUGUUACUGCGAAGGGGGGACGGAGAAGGCUAUGUUGGCCGGGCGACGGUUGUCCCGGUUUAAGCGUGUAGGUGUGUGUUCCAGGUAAAUCCGGUUCACUUUAACACUGAGGCGUGAUGACGAGGCACUACGGUGCUGAAGCAACAAAUGCCCUGCUUCCAGGAAAAGCCUCUAAGCAUCAGGUAACAUCAAAUCGUACCCCAAACCGACACAGGUGGUCAGGUAGAGAAUACCAAGGCGCUUGAGAGAACUCGGGUGAAGGAACUAGGCAAAAUGGUGCCGUAACUUCGGGAGAAGGCACGCUGACAUGUAGGUGAAGUGAUUUACUCAUGGAGCUGAAGUCAGUCGAAGAUACCAGCUGGCUGCAACUGUUUAUUAAAAACACAGCACUGUGCAAACACGAAAGUGGACGUAUACGGUGUGACGCCUGCCCGGUGCCGGAAGGUUAAUUGAUGGGGUCAGCGCAAGCGAAGCUCCUGAUCGAAGCCCCGGUAAACGGCGGCCGUAACUAUAACGGUCCUAAGGUAGCGAAAUUCCUUGUCGGGUAAGUUCCGACCUGCACGAAUGGCGUAAUGAUGGCCAGGCUGUCUCCACCCGAGACUCAGUGAAAUUGAACUCGCUGUGAAGAUGCAGUGUACCCGCGGCAAGACGGAAAGACCCCGUGAACCUUUACUAUAGCUUGACACUGAACAUUGAGCCUUGAUGUGUAGGAUAGGUGGGAGGCUUUGAAGUGUGGACGCCAGUCUGCAUGGAGCCGACCUUGAAAUACCACCCUUUAAUGUUUGAUGUUCUAACGUGGACCCGU